rnacentral:tRNA from 1 species
GGCGGCGUAGCCAAGUGGUAAGGCAAGGGUCUGCAAAACCUUUAUACCCCAGUUCGAACCUGGGCGCCGCCU